CGGGUGAGUAAUACAUAUCUAACAUGCCCCUCUGUGGGGGAUAGCCGCUUGAAAAAGCGAUUAAUACCCCAUAGGAAGCUUUAUCCAUGAUUUAGCUUUUAAAGCCUUCGGGCGCUGAGGGAUUGGGAUAUGCUCUAUUAGCUAGUUGGCGGGAUAAAAGCCCACCAAGGCAAUGAUAGAUAGCUGGUCUUAGAGGAUGAACAGCCACAAUGGGAUUGAGAUACGGCCCAUAUUCCUACGGGAAGCAGCAGUAGGGAAUCUUCCACAAUGGACGAAAGUCUGAUGGAGCAAUACCAUGUGAACGAUGAAGGCCUUUUUGGUUGUAAAGUUCUUUUACGAGGGAUAAUUAUGAUAGUACUUCGUGAAUAAGUGACAGCAAACUAUGUGCCAGCAGCUGCGGUAAUACAUAGGUCGCGAGCAUUAUUCGGAUUUAUUGGGCGUAAAGCAAGCGCAGGCGGAUGUGUAAGUUCUGUGUUAAAUGCAGCUACUCAAUAGUUGUAUGCACCGAAUACUACAUGUCUAGAUUGUGGUAGGGAGUUUCGGAAUUAAGCAUGGAGCGGUGGAAUGUGUAGAUAUGCUUAAGAACACCAGAGGCGAAGGCGGAAACUUAGGCCAUAAAUGACGCUUAGGCUUGAAAGUGUGGGGAGCAAAUGGGAUUAGAUACCCCAGUAGUCCACACCGUAAACGAUGGGUAUUAGAUAUUAGGGCUUUAGCUUUAGUGUUGUAGCUUACGCGUUAAAUACCCCGCCUGGGUAGUACAUAUGCAAAUAUGAAACUCAAAGGAAUUGACGGGGACCUGAACAAGUGGUGGAGCAUGUUGCUUAAUUCGAUAAUACACGAAAAACCUUACCAAGGUUUGACAUCCCUCGCAAAGCUAUAGAAAUAUAGUGGAGGUUAUCGAGGUGACAGGUGGUGCAUGGCUGUCGUCAGCUCGUGUCUUGAGAUGUUUGGUUAAGUCCCGCAACGAGCGCAACCCCACUCUUUAGUUACUUUUCUAAAGAGACUGCACAGUAAUGUAGAGGAAGGAUGGGAUCACGUCAAGUCAUCAUGCCCCUUAUGCCUUGGGCUGCAAACGUGCUACAAUGGCGAACACAAUGUGUUGCAAACCAGCGAUGGUAAGCUAAUCACCAAAUUUCGUCUCAGUUCGGAUAGGAGGCUGCAAUUCGCCUCCUUGA
rnacentral:rRNA from 1 species